GGCCUGAACGCUGGCGGCGUGGCUAAGACAUGCAAGUCGCACGGGGUAGCAAUACCCAGUGGCGAACGGGAGAGUAAUGAAUCGCUAACGUACCCCGGACUCUGGGAUAGCUAUCCGAAAGGGUAGGUAAUACCAGAUGAUAUAACCGCACGGCAUCGUGUGGUUCUCAAAGGUCCGCC
rnacentral:rRNA from 1 species